UACUGACAUUUUAGUUUCUGUGGACGCAAGU
rnacentral:piRNA from 1 species